GACCGGACCGGACCGGACCGGGCCGGGCGGGACGAGGCCCGACGCGCUCCCGCGGGGGCCGCUCCGCGCUUUAAAGGAGCCGCCGGGGCGCGGCGGGGAACGAAAUGUUUGGGUCCCUUUCACUGAGCCUGGCCAAUAGAAUCUUUAAUUAUUUAAAGCAGACCAGGCCCAACGAGGGAGCUCCAGUGCAGCAAAGGGCUGGGAGGGCUCGGCAGCGUCACUCGUGCGCUGUCUCAACCUGAUGGAAGAGUUUGCUCCUGCUGGGCUGCAGCAGAUCCUGGAAGACCUUGGGGAGAAGGCUAUCUAAAGGAGCAAUUCGAUGAAUGUCCUGCUCUUUCCCUACUGCUGAGGCCACAUGAGGAAGAAGCUGGAAAGUCAUCACAACAUUUUAUUUAAAGGGUGAAACUAUUAUUUUUCCCCCCCCUCGGAUGUACUUAUUUAAAAUCAAGACACCGUUAGGAAGGUGGAGGAAAUACAAAUAAAACGUUGUCGACCUCACCUCUGGUGCAGCAAAGGUGUUUGUCCACACAGUAAAAAGGAAACACAGCAUUGACAUUGUCUGAUAUUAAACAUCCUGGAAGGUAUAAUCUUUUUAUCUUCCUUUUACUUCAAUCUUUUACUUUAACCAAAGAUUUUGUAGGUGAAUCACACGGAUAUUUCAAGCCCUGCUUGAUCAAGUCUUACAAAGCAACCUGCAACCUGACCAACAACACAGAGAGAAUAAUCAAAAGAGUAAUCAUUUGAAGAAUGUGUUAAACCUGACAGCUUAGGUAGAGAACACAUGGAACCAAACACAAUACAUACUUCUGUUCCACUCAGUGGCAGAGAAGAGCUAUCUUCUCUAUAUCUGUGAAGUCUGUACGGAGAAGCAGGAGAAAAUCUUAAGGUGUGGAAACACGCUGAGAUGAGGGAAACCUAAAAAAUUUCCAAUUGACACUCAACAAGUAUUUCAAAAGGCACACUACAAAAUCUCCCUGUCUGCAGCACUACAGCAGCUUUGUGCCCUAGCUGAAUUCAGAAUGAAUGUUGAGGGCUUAGCUUGAAACAUCACUGGGCUUUAUAGCUUUGUGGCGGGGAGAAUUCUCUUAAUUGCAGGAUAAUGAUGUGGUGUGGGCAUAUGCCUUGUGCCAAGUGGUUAUGAAUUACUUUGUGCAGAUACGUGAAACCCACAUCAAGUAGAAAGCAUAGACAUGUCCUUUCAGUCUAAAGGAGAGAAGGAAGAGAGCUACUGUAAAAAGGAGGUCAAACAUAAAUCAUAGUAAGGUUAAAAGCCAUGGAUUAAAAACUGACCUUGAAAAUAUGGUUUAUCCUGCUGCCUUUCAAGACAAUUUGCCCUGUUGUUCAACAUCCCUGUUUGAAACUAUCAAAGGCCUUGUCUUUUCUUAUGAAAAAAAGAGGCAGCACCAUAUCACUGGAAUUGUCAAGGUUUGGAGAUGGAAUUCUGAUUCUGAAAAAAAUGCCCUUUAAAACAGGCCUGAGGGAGUUGUCUGAAGGGAGAAAAAAGUAAUUGGAAUGCUAAAUUUGUUUUUCUUGUAAGUGACCAUGAGGCUGUUCUUACUUGUUUUCAAAUAUCAGAAUGGUUUCUUGAUGGAACUUUUGCAACUGAAAACCUGCAACCCAUUUAACCAGAACUCUGUUUUCACCCUAGCUCAGAGGUGAUUUGUGUGUCUGGAUUUAGCUUUAGGCACGGUCCCUGCCAUCUUCUGCCAGACACUUUUCUCCUGCAAAUUUAAUCAAUGAUCCAGAUACAUGAUUAUUUCAAAUUUACAUUUCAAAAGGAGUAAAAGAUUGAUUUUAAUUCCAAGGGAGGAGAGGGAGGCACAAUGAUAUUGUUGAAUCUUUUGUUCCCAGAAGAAUCAGCAAAAAAUUAAGAGUAUUGAAGAACUGUAAUUUGGGUCAGGCCAACCAUCUUAAUCCAUGUCUGCUAUUUUCUACUCUUUUUUAAUGUGCUAGACAUAAGCAUGUUUGAUUUAUGACGAGAGUCAAAAACAUCUGUACUUUGGGGCACAAGCAAAUACUUAUUUGAACAAUGGACUCCCUGGGGAGGGAUAUAGAAAAGAAAUGACAUUUUUUUGCAAAUAAUUCAGUGUUUUUCACUCCAUAAAGUAUUUUGCUUUGUUUUGAAGAGUGCUCUGCAGAAGACACAAUGACUCAACUCAGUAAAGGAGCCCAGCAACUUUCACCUUUAUGUGACUGGUGUGUCUGUGAGCCAGAGUAGCACCGGGGAGAUGCUGUUACCAUCUGCUGGCCUUGGAGUGACCCACGUGAAAAGAAUUGGUUAUCUCGGUCUCAUUGGCAGCAUACAAGUAUUCACAUCUUAAAAACAUUUGGAAGUAGUUGGCAGUCUGAGGCCUUGUCUGUACUCAGGAUUAGUUCUGAUUUCAGGAAUUAUUUUAGCUUCUGGUUAAAACCCACUGUAGAUCAAGUUGUGCAAAUUGUGAUCUGCGCUGCCAUCUGCAUCACUGACUGGCAGAUGGGGGACUAGUUCUAAUUGCAGGUGAGGUUGAAGGAGAGGAACCAUGUUCUGAAUAGUUGCAUAUCCUGAAUCAACUCUCAUGAUGUACUUCAGGAGUUUCUUUGAAGUUUUUUCAGGAAAAAAGUGUCAAAGAUAUCAGAAGAGAAAUAUCUGUAGAAUUUUCAUUUCAAGCCUGCACUGGUUGGAGAUUCAAUUCCGUAACCAGAUGCUGUGCUGUAUGUGCAUUGACAUGAUUAGAAACAGGCUUGAAAGUAACAUUUAAAAUCACUAGUAAACUUCUCAGACUUCAGUCAGCCAGGACUGUGAAUGAAUGCUGUGCCCGCUCCUUUUAAACCCAUGGUCUUGAAUCCAGACGUCUCUGCACUUGAGGGACUUUCUUGCCAAGCUUUGGAGCUGACCUCUGUGGCUGAGCACAGUCGAUACACUGUGACAAAGAUGUGCCUCACUGUAGAGCCCAGUGUAAACUAUUAAUGUCAACAAAGAGGCCAGAGCAGAGAGACAGAAAUAAUGGCUGUUCCUGUGAGGUUCCCACGUAUAGAGAAAGCAAAAAACCCCUUUAAAAAGUAACAAUCCCCAUUUCAGCUGCUUUUCGGAAUGAACAUAUUCAACAGUGUGGCAGGCUAGUAGCUUUCUGUGCCUGUGGUAAAACUAUGCCAAACUAGAGUGAGAAAGCCUAGGGUCUUUUAAAAUAAGGUGUGAAAAACUCUGUAGCAAGUGUAGAAUUUUAGAAAAGAGCCAAAGCCUCUGUCCACCCUCAGAAGAGCAGAAUGACAGAGCUCUGGCAACCAUAGCAGCCACCACCGAUUUAUUUACGAGUUCCUGGAGUUGGUCCAGUGUAAUUAUGGGCCUGAACUCCAGAUCAGAUUCACUUGACAUUUGAGAAAGUCUGUGGAAAAGCAGUAAUAAUAAACUGAUAAUAACCAUCCAUCUCAUAAACAACAAAAAAUAAAGAGAAGAGAAAGGGCAGGUGGGGAGAGGGGGUGGCAACAUAAUCUGCAAAAAAUGUCCUGUUUGUUGAGAGAUGCUUUCAGUACAAACUCCUAUGUAUAUUCUAAAAGGAGCUGUGGAGAAUUUUGGAGUAAGUCCUGUUGCAAUUAUUGCACUGGAAAAAAAUGAAAAUGGGGGGACAGAGGAAGAUGGGAUUAGUUGGGACAGCAGUUUCUCUUGGUGGAGUACAUAGUUUGUGGCCCACAUGGCAUUUAUACAAGCAUGAUCAUCACCCAAAUUAUAUUACCAAGAAGCUGUUGACUUUGGAAAAAGAUGUUUUAAGAAACUAUGCUGUAGCAUAUGAUUUGUUUUCAAUUUCAUGCACAGUAUAGAAAUAUAUUUUUUUGUGCUUUA